rnacentral:rRNA from 1 species
GAUGAACGCUGGCGGCGUGCCUAAUACAUGCAAGUCGAGCGAACAGACGAGGAGCUUGCUCCUCUGACGUUAGCGGCGGACGGGUGAGUAACACGUGGAUCACCUACCUAUAAGUCUGGGAUAACUUCGGGAAACCGGAGCUAAUACCGGAUAAUAUAUUGAACCGCAUGGUUCAAUAGUGAAUGACGGUUUUGCUGUCACUUAUAGCUGAAUCCGCGCCGCAUUAGCUAGUUGGUAAGGUAACGGCUUACCAAGGCAACGAUGCGUAGCCGAGCUGAGAGGGUGAUCGGCCACACUGGAACUGAGACACGGUCCAGACUCCUACGGGAGGCAGCAGUAGGGAAUCUUCCGCAAUGGGCGAAAGCUUGACGGAGCAACGCCGCGUGAGUGAUGAAGGUCUUCGGAUCGUAAAACUCUGUUAUUAGGGAAGAACAAAUGUGUAAGUAACUAUGCACGUCUUGACGGUACCUAAUCAGAAAGCCACGGCUAACUACGUG